AAAGGAUGGCCGUUUUUGGAACUAUGUCAAUAAAAACGGAUAUGUUUAGAACUUGAGGUAUAUUCAUUAAGGGGAUAAUGGGUUGUAUUGCAGUACAACAAAAACAUUUAUUGUGAAAAGGAAAAAGGAACUAAGGGAGAUCGAAGAGAUUGAUGUCUUAUAGAACAUUUUUCCUGCUUUCCUCUAUCUCAUGAAAUCCCUCCUUCUACUCACAUCUGCUUUGACCCAGUAAACUUAGUUGUGAACCUCAAUCACAGUUUUCUGAUUUGCUACAUCAGUCAUGUGACAACAAACACACAACCUCUCUCUCUCUCUCUUUCGCUCCCCCUUCUAAGAUGCAGAAGCGAGCAAAAAUAAAAUCCUGGUCUGUUUUGCUUUGAUGAUGUCUGUCCUUCUUUUCAGAAUCUGCAUAAGAACCAUUUAUUGCCAAGUAUUUUGCACUUUUACGGAAUUGUACUUGUCCGAAUGGUGCAAACAAUAAACAUAAAUAGACAUAAAUGUAUAUAAGUGUUCAUAUAAUAAUAUAAGGUGUCCAGACCCAUUUCUUGCCAUGUCCUCAGUAUCGUCUCUACUUUUGAAAAUGUUCUUUUUUUAUUGUUAUUUCUUGCUCAAAAGAAAAAUCACUUCCCCUGCUUGAAGCUGGCUAACUAUCUCCCUAUUUUUACCAUUUGUACCCUUUUGUCAGUUUAGUGACAAAUCCUGUAUUAACAUUUCCAUUUAUUGGCUUUUUCAGUAACUGAAAACCCAGUCGGGAAAUGAACGAAUCAUUUCUGUUUCCUUGACUGAGCCUUUGCAACACUCACGAGAAAUUGAACGAUUCUCUCUUUGAGAGGACUCGUUAAUCCCGAGUCCUUGUAAGGAUUCUUUCAAAAUGAACUAAUCGUUCACGAACAACACAUCACUACAGGUUAGAUUUUGCGCAACCGCUAGUUGACAUUUUAGCUUUUAGCUCGGUGGCGAUUGCCGAAAACCCCCCAGAAAUCCCACAAAUGAUCGGUUUCGGGCAAUGCAAGCUUUCACAAAGGGAUAAUAAGGUGGACGUCAUGAGCGAUGUGAAUGAAUGAGAUGGUGCGGUCCCCAAUACUGUUUACGUACACAUGAGGGGACUAUUUUUUCUCUAGACUACUGAAAUGCGAUACACAACGUUUGGUGGCUACAAUUAUUUUGUGCUGAAAGGCAGCUAUUUACUUAGUAGUUAUAACUUCGCUGGUAACCGUAUUAUAAAAGCAAUAAGGUACUUGAGGCUGCACUUUAUCUUCUGCGCGUCGGGCCUAACAACACCCCCGAACUGUCACAUUAUUGGACGAUAAAGUACAGCCUCUCGUACCUAAUUGCUUUAGUAGCCUAUAUUGAAGUAAUGUAAACCUAAGCAGAUACUAAAGUAACUUCCCCUCUGUGUUUGCCCUUUAUUUAUUCAGGAAUAUAACAAUAAAGAGAUAACAAGCACUAAAGGCUUCAAAUAACCAUUUGUAAUAACAAUGAUAAUAGCAGUGAUAAAGGAACCUAAAAAAAAAAAUUCCACAUAGAUUUUAUUCUGCAAAAUCUGCAUUCUACUUUUUUGCCAGGGAGCAGCUUGCUGCUCGCUCACGGGCAGCAGAUCUUUUUGUACUGACCCCUCACAUGCAGUUUAAUAACUGCUGGACACAAAGCCAUCGCAGAAGAAUUUUGUCUUCACUCUGUCCGUGAACCUUUUCUUUUCUCUAUUUUCUGCCGCUAUCUUGCACCACCCUGCACCGCCCUACCUUCACCACCUCCAUCUCGUACUCUUGCUGCUUUCCCAUGAUUUCAUGCACAUUGCAGCAGCAGAUCUGACAACCACAUCCUCUCUCCUGUCCUUUCUCCACGCCGGACCCCUGAGGGAGUGGUGUUGGUGGUGGAUCUGGGUUCAAUUUCUAUUGUGUAAUAUUGUAAUACACAGGUCAACACUUCACACGACUCCUUUUCACCCAGAAACAUCGCUUCAAUUUUGCCCGUUUUCCGCCAGUCGGACUGAAAACAAUUAGGUCCACGUGCAUUUUUUAUUUAUCUUUGACUUUACCGUCUUCCCUCUGUCUGUGUUUAUCUUAUUCUAUUCUGUUGCCUACAUUACCUCCUUGUUGUAUUCUAAUCCUGCUUAAUGUGAGGCCUAAAUGAAAAGGCAGUUGUUAUCUCCGCUAAAACUGCUGUGGAAGAAACUUUUGACCUGGCAAUAAAUUCAUUUUUAAUACUGUUGGCUUUGUUUCAAAGCCUUACACAACGCAGUAAUAGCCCCUGUUAAGAGGACAUUUGAAAGGGUUGGUUCUUGGUUCAGAUGCUAUCGUUCUUUAUUUUCCUGUACUUUUCAGCAGUAAAACUGUGGUGCAACAUACCUGAUCCAAAUCUGGUAAAUGAGGCCUGCAACUCCAGCUGCUGACUAGGCCAGACACGUACAGAGGGGACAGGGGUGGCAGGCCAAUGAGAACCAGGGCUGGAUAUUGUUGCCUCACAAUCAUUUGAGUGAAGAUCUGGGACUGUGAUACAUACAAACACUGUGGCACGUUUACCCGGCGUUAAAUGAGAAAUGAAUCCUCUGACUAGAUUAUUAAAACAGUUUGGCAGUUUAUGUCAUGGAAGACAUGAGAGAAAUGUGCCUGGAUUUAACCUUCCUUCUUUAAAGAUGUGAUUAGCUUGUUGCCUUCACAUGAGAUUUGCCUCAUAUACGCAAUCACUUGCAACUACCGUACAUUCUUUAGUUCAAUGUAUUCUUUACUUGAAUAUAUUGAACUGCCCCUCAUUACCCAGCAAUGGUGUCCAGUAUCUCUAAGGGCAUUACACAACUCUUACACGUCAGGACUGCACCAGCCAAAUGAGUUUAGAGGUUUCCAUAUACUUCAACUGAAUUUUGAUUGCUAUCCAUUCCAACAAAAAACGCUGUGUCCUCCGGCCCCUCGGAGCCGGGCUCUAACAGACGCUUUGAUGUGAUUAUAAGUCUCACGGAGGGACUAUGUGAAGCAGACUGUUGACGAUGAAUGGUGGCAUUCAUGAACUAAACAUCUGACCUUAGCGCUCUCGCCUCAAUAAUAAACAUGCUCUGUAACAGAACACUUCAAGGAGUGAAAAAUGCACCUGCAGGCAAGACCUGUUUCUGAUCUGGUCAAUCUGGUCUCCCUUCACUAUGUAAGUGGAGGACGGGCAGUAUGGCGGACUGUCAGUAACUGAACCACAGCCUCCGCUCUCCAUCUGAACAGUGCCAGAAGAGGAGAUUAUUUGGUCUUUUCACACAAGGACUUGGUAUUCUGGCCUGCCGGGUCAAAAACACAUCACCUGAGUUUGAUGGAUUGGUUAUUAAAUAACAGGGCAGAUGCUCAGAUGUAACUAUAAUUUUUGUAAACAUGACUAGAUAGUAAAUUCAGUUUAUUUGAGGAAGCACAUGUCCACCCUGAUAUGAGAUAUGACUGGUGGUGUUACAUUUUAACACAGUAGGUAAUGAAUGAAACAGUUUAUCGGACCUCGUCUGAACUUUUUGAGAGAAGAACAUUUCUAAAAAUCCAUCAAAACAAAAUAAAGUUGCGACAUGCAAAAAUGAAAGAUGGAAUAAGACUAUAUAUAAACUUGACGGAAUUGAACUAAGUGAGCACACACACGCACACAGACACACACGGGUACACUAACAUUGUUGUUUCCAAACUCAAACCACAUGGAAGCACAGCUGUGCGUCUGUUUUGUAUCAUGCAGCUUAAUUUUUGUCCUUCCAAAAGUUCUACAUAUAGAUGUCCUCCCUCUUAUUAAUUAUCAAAAUGAUAGGGAGCCUGUGCCUUGUGUGUGUCUGUGCGGGCCUUCAUACGUGCCUCCCUAAUAUGGUUUAGUAAAUAAAUUGAAAUGCUAAUUAUACAGUGACUUUGCUGUCAUUUCAGCAUCAACUUUAUAUAUCAGCUUGCUGCCUGUGUGAGAUUCUUAAACCGACUAAUUCGCAUCUUAUUAAAUCAUUGCAUUUUAUACAUUGUUGUUUUAAUGCAUUUCUCAUGGACAUACGUCUUUUUUUAGGAAUUCAUAUGAAUAUGGGAAAAUUGUGAUUUCCCCCAAGUACAUUAUAAUUAUGACAUCAUUUAUUUCAGAUCACUGUGUGGCAGCUGGCACCGCAUGUGUGGCACUUAAAAGACAAACAAAGCUUACUUAAUGUCUUUCUCCUUCACUAUUGCUCUCACUCACCGUCUCCCUGCUCGUCUCUUUUGUACUUUUUACCUCGCUCGCUCUCUUUCCACAUCGCACCUCUCUUUAUCCCUAUCACUUUUAGAAUAAAUAGUUCAGAGGCAGAACUCCAAGGGAACACGCCAUGAUCCUGCACACACACACACACACACACACACACACAGGGACCUCCAAUGUGUGUUGCUUUUUCCAGAGACUGGAGGGGGUUCUGGGAGCAAAAAUAAUGAGCUCAUCAGUUCAGCCUGGAGGUGGUGUUGGCAACACACACACACACACACACACACACACAUACACUACAUUUUUCUUUCUUUUUACCCUACACACAGACACAGAGGCAAUUACAACGAUCCGGUAUGCUAUUCCAUCCAACCGUCUUCCCCGUGACUCACUGUAAAGACUCUGGGAGGCUGAAACUAUUGUUCUCCGGCCUCCUUUUUUUGGGGCCUUUUCCCUUCUUGUAGCACGGAAACAAAUGUAGUUUCAAAAGAGGAGUGCCCGUGCCUCUGUGCCUGUGUUAGUCAGUGCUCAUGUUUGGCACCUUGGGUGUUUGUUAAGAUGCACAAGCGUGUGUGUCAGUACUGUACGUUUGCUGAGAUCUGCUAUUCUCCAGCACUGAUAUGGAAAUUUGCUGUUGGAUGUUUUUAUGAAGCGGAGGUUGUGCGUGGCGGGCGUGCUCUAUGUGUGCAUGUCUGAAGGCAUGCAUACAGUAAUGAAAGUGGAGAUGAUGAUGAGGAGCAAGAGGCUGGUGAUGGAGUGUUUUCAAGUGUUGUCUGCAAGAAGACUUGACUUGUUUGUUUGAAGGGAAGAUUAUUAUUUGAAUGAACUGCAUGAACUCAGAGUUAAAGCAUAGCAGUUUGAGAAACGGAGGUUAUGAACUAGUUGAUUGAAAAAUUGCCUCAAUUUUUUGUGCUCUCUGCAAAGUAAAACAUCAAGGGGCUGGUCUAAAUCCAUACAAAUAGAGAUAGAAAAAUGUCCAUAAAGAAGAAGAAGUGGACUGUCUCCUUAAAAUAUUGUUAAUGUUCUGUUCAUGGAAUCAUUUGCAAUGAUACGCUAUUCGGCUGCGGAAAAAUAGAUUAAUUCAACAGGGUAAACUGAUCAUUUCAAGGACAACAUUGCAUAUAAUAACUGCUGUUAAAUGUGUUACAUUGUUUUAUAACAAACUUCACAUUUCCUUUAACUUAUCAUGCAUUCUUUGUUUUAUUGUCAGUAAUGCUUCUUUACAAUCAACAUGAUCAAUAUGGUAAUCCAUUGAGCCGCAGAGUCUCACUUAACUUUGAAGAGACAAUACAUUUGACCUAAAAAUCAAUCCCAGGUUAAUUAACACAUGGUGGAUUGUUACAGCUCAUCAAUCAUUUCCAGCCUGGGCUCCUUGGCUUGGUGCAAUUUGCUCUCAUCGGUUUAAUUGAGAUUUCUUAUGAGUGAAAUAUAAAGACAACAGAAUGUCGUGUGGAUUAUUGAUUCAGUGGUUCAGUCUUUCCACCGUCCCUGCUAAUCUUAAAGGGUUUCUGCUUCCCCUUCUCGUCCAGACUCUUGACUUUUAUUCGCUGUACCCUUCAAGUUUUCCCCUCCCCUUGUCAUCCACCUCUUAAUCCCUCUCUAUUCCUCCCCCCACCUCCGUUUUUUCUCACCCUUUAUCCUUCCGUUGCCAGGUAUUAUUUUGGAAUAAUGAUAGUCUGCUAUGUGGUCUCACAGCUGUGGGUUAUUAGAUCCAAUAUAAUUUCUAAAGCAAUAAAUGGGAGACAGUACUUGUGUGUAUUUUAUUCUUUGUAUUUCUUUUUUUCAUUACUUCCAGAACAUAUUAACAAGCUUACUUUUUAUCCGUACAGGCUCAAGCUUAAUUACAUUCAGGGAAGCGCCGCUAUCAGCCAUGGAGCAGAAUAAGUAACGAAGGCUUUUUUGAUUAAGACCAAAGUUUGUGUUUUGGGUUCCAUUUUUUUAUUAGUUAAUAUGUGGAUUCUUGCUGAUGUCAGUCAUGACUGCAAGCUGAGUUAUAUUUUUCAAUAACCUCAUAUUCAUAUGGAAGGUUUAAGCUCUUAAAAUCCAGGAUGGUGAAUAUUUGGCAAGUAAAAUGUCAAAUUGGAAUACGGCAUUAACCUUCUAGUAUUGAAACACUCAUUAUGCAAGUUAUCAACAUCAUUUAUUUUUUCAACUACAGCCUCUGUAUGUGCUUGUGUUUGUGUGAGCGUUUUUUGUGGGGAAGGUCAGUAUGCCCGAUCAUCGAUUGCAUUGCAAACACACAGAGACAAAAAACAUUCAAGCACCGUUCCACCUCACUUAGAAAAGAAAUAUUUACUUAAUAAAUUGAAACUGCCGUGGCAAACCAAAUGCUAUUUCAUAAAUACUGUUUGAGAGCUGACAUAAAGUGUGCACCAGGUUCUUGAUUAUGUGUCAUUUUGCAAAAGAGUGCAAAGAAAUGUUUUUAAAGAUAAAAGGCAGUGACUAUUUUGGUGGAUAAUAACUGAAGACAGAAAUUGGGCUUCAGAUGUCAAUAUAUUACACUGUCCCUUCAUGAGUAUUCUUCCUUUGGCCAUCUCAACGCCCUGAAGACAACGAAGAUGGGUGUGGAUUCCCGCUAGAACGCCGUCCCCUUUGCCCCAAGUCCCUCCACUUCCUACAGGCUCCAUCAUUACCCAGGACCUCAGGGAGCUGAACCCCAGCUCCAUCCAAAAGAAGGCUCUGCAUAGAGUACCCUUCCUGAGGCAGAUACGUGCACACUGCCAUGGUGGAGCCCACCCUCACCUCCUCCACCACCAUCUGGAGCGCUGCAGCCACUGUUGACGACCAGGGCAGACUGCAGCGCACCAUUUGCUCUGCUGAGACUGUGAUUGGCUGUAAUUGGACAUCCUUUCAUGACUUGUUUGCCUUUGGGUCUGUGUGGCGGGCAAGAAAGAUUGUAGCCAACACCUCUCAGCCUGGACACAAACUGUUUGAGUCCAUUCCCUCUGGCAGGAGGCUGAGGUCCAUGAGGACAAACAUCUCACCGCCAAAAGAAAACGUUUCUUCCCCAUCUGCAGAUGGGCUCAACAACAAACCCCAGAACCCCCACUGAAUCAGACACUUAAAUUCCCCGGACAAUAAAUACAGUUACACAGUCACACUUUGCACUACCUUACAACUCUACAACAUUUUCCACUUGAUUUGAUUGUUAGUUUGUCGUCUUUUAUUACAAAUUGAUUUACCUGUAUUUUCUAUGUUAAAUGAUGUAUUUUAAUACUGCAUGUUUAGUGUCACGCAGCCAAAUUACUUGCAUGUGUAACAUACUUUGCAAUUAUAACAGUCACAUGAAAACGUGAAAAUAUUUCAUGCUAAAAAUGUGAGCUAAUGAAGUGAAUGGUUAAAGGCAGCUACAGACACCCAGUCAUGCAUUAUAUUUACCUCAAUUUAAAAAUGUGCCUAAGAUGACAAACAUGAUCAUAAACAUGUUAAAAGUGCAAGGAUAAUGCAAAACAGAGGUCAUGAAAGUACUGCAUGUUCCACUCUUAUGCCUAACACUUAUUUUUUUUCUAGACCUAUUCAAUGAAAGAAGUAUAUCAAAAAUGAAUUUCAUUCCAGUUAAUGGCCUCCAGAACAUCUUAAAAUUGAUGUAUCUAUGACGUUAAUGAUGUACGAUUUUAUUUAUAUAUAUGUAUAUUUAAAGGCUUAAUACUUUGCACAUUGUAACCCUUAAAGCAUCCAUCUUGCACUUCAUGGACAUUCUUUAUAGAUAUGGGUGAUGCUGAUCGAAGGAAGUCAUUGUCGUCUUUUCCGUCAUUGUAAUAUUGCCACAUGUGUCACAAUGAAGUGGACGUAUCAUCAAUGGUUUUCAUUUAAUGAGCUAUUAAGAAACCGUGAAAAAACGGAUUCAUUUUAACACUAACAAAAAACCUAAUGCUGUGUAGAAAUGAUGCUUUGUCCUUGAGUCGUAUAACUCAAUUAAACAAACUGUCUGUGGUCAUUUACAGAAUAAGACAAAAAAUGAGCUACAAGGUUUUUACAUAAAACUGACUACUGAAUACUGAAUGGAUAAAAAAUACCACAAACCAUUCCGAAGCUUACUUUCCUCUUCUCAUGAAUACUGAUGUGAACUACAAUCCAUUUGCAGCCGCACGUUCGCUCAGUCUGCAAUUUAUGAUUCAAGCUGUAACUACCUCAUUUGAUCCCAUCCUUGUUAUGCUAAUUUCCUCUCACAAUGGUAGCAAAUCAGUUUGAUUUAACUGUGCAAACUGUGUGAGCUGAGGACUGUCUGUGUGUGUGUGUGGCAUUUGGGAGGAGUGGUUGCUACCAUAGUUGUGCCUGUGUGUCUGAAUGAGUUAGCUUACACACAUUCGUGCAUUUGUGUGUGUGUGUGUGUGUGUGUGUGUGUGUGUGUGUGUGUGUGUGUGUGUGUGUGUGUGUGUGUGUGUGUCAUACAGCAUACAGUUGUUAGAGAAGUGAGAGGUGUUUUUGUGCCAAAGCCAAAGCUCCCAAUCUGCAUUUUGAUGUCAUUAGCUUGCCACAUGAAGCUGCUUCAGUGGUACUUUAAACCCAGAUUGUGUUUUCAAGAGCACUAAACAGAAUAGGAAAUGAAAGGCUUAAAAAGCGUCAAAAAUAACCUUGUAAAGAAAUCAAAAAUUAUUUUAGAUAUUGGUGUUUAGUAUUCAAAAGUUGGGACUUCUCUCUUUGAAAAAUAAAUAUUGGCUUAGUGAGCCAACUCUCAUAUUGCAGUGAGAGUGAUCUUUUCUUUUUACAUACACACAGCACAAUUUUCUUUUCCGAGAACAAAACGUUUAUACAAAACAGAUUUGAUUUUAAAUAAGGGACCACUUGCUACCUUAAAAACUAAAGAAAUUAUAAAAUGUGAAGUGAAUAUAAAAAUUCAGCAAAGCUCAGUGUUGGUCUACAGUAAAAUGAGGUUCAGGUUGAACUUUCCCUGCUUCCUAUGUAAGUCAUUUAACCUUUUAUUACAAAAGGGGCAGAGGUGGCUGAUGGUUUUACUAAAAGUUCCAGUUUGCCAUUUUAAGGAAGAUCAGGCCAAUAUUAUUAUUGUUUUUUUUGUUCAAGUCAAAUCCCCUCUGUACAACACGAUUAAACCAAAACUACACAUACUUCUGUACAGAAUGUAGUUUCAGUUCACAUGCAACAUUGGCAUUACCUACUAAUGUAAAAAACGACAUAAUCAGUCAGUGUGUGUGUGUGUGUGUGUUUGUGUACGCAUGCUAGUGCACACAUAUACACACACAAACCAACACAAUAAAUAAAAAAAGGGGUAAAAACCUGAUUUCUUGUAAUAGGACAUUUCCAUUUGCAUUUGAGUAGCUACAGGGUAUGUUGACCUUUGAACUCCACCCUGUUUUUCAAAGUCUAGACAUAAUGCUAUCAAAGAUAUAUCCCCAAUUCUGUUCCGAAUUAUUUUUUGUCUGUGUGUGUAAUAGAGGGAAAGUGAAUAUUUGAUGGAGAUAGACAGAGGGAGAGAGAGAGAGAGAGAGAGAGAGAGAGAGAGAGAGAGAGAGAGAGAGAGAGAGAGAGAGAGAGAGAGAGAGAGAGAGAGAGAGAGGGUUUUAUGUUUAAGUCUUUCCUGCUGGGAUCUCUGGAGCGUGAAACUGAGGGAAAACAAACCAAAGAAGCAGUCGAUGAUUGAGUUAGCUGGCAAGAGGCCUGGAGAAGAAUCCGGGUAAUUCAUUUUAAAAAGUUUUAGCCAGUUUUUCCUCCUGUUUUGAUCGUUCCAGAAUAACUUAGAAAUUCAACCUUGCAUCUGAAGAAGAUUAUUCUCCAAAAGAGCAUCAGCAGCUCUUCUUCUCAAUUCUUCCGCUUCCAAAGCAACACAGUGAACUGUCACCUUGUCCGGUUGCGCUUGUCAGUAACAACCUAUCAUGUCCUGGUCACCACCAUUAUUACCAGAGCUUACCUUUUUGUGAUGCAUUAGUUCAAGCCCUGCUCUUGUCAUCUGCACGACCAAAGCAAUGGUGCAACAUCUCACAGUUUGCUUCCGGGAUGGAGUGAUGGAAGUGAGACAGAACAUUGCAGCGCACUGCCACAUAUACAUACAAGACACACGAUUCUAACUUGAAAACUGUUGAGAAGGUAUUGCUGCGGGAGACCCUUCAAAUCCAGACUACCAUGUCUGGCUUCACAGACUUGACACACCUGACAACAAGAGGAGCAGCUGGCAUGUCACAAGUGCAUAUUCAGUGUCAAAGUUCAGCAGCCGACGUGGGACCGCUGCGUUCUCCUCAAACGUGUCCCACAAUGGUUGUUUGAAGGAAGAAGCUCACCAGCCUGCUGCCCUCUUCACUUUUUCCAAAACAUUUGGGUGAGCGAUACCCUGAAUCCGAAUAAACGGAAGAAAUAACCAAUCAAAUAGCAUCUCUCUAUAUAGUCUAUACUCUGCCGCAGUGUGUUUGUGCAUGAGUAAAACUAUGUGUUACCCAGAUGAUCGACAGAGAAUCAUUAAUGUGUGCAUAUUAAAACAAUAUAAACUUAAUUCACUAAAUCUAAACACAAUCCCUGAGUCAUAUUGAUGUCUCAGGUAUUGGCCUAAUACUAAUGCAUACCAGCAUUAUCUUAAAACAAUUUGCACUUUCCUC
ensembl:lncRNA